GACGAACGCUGGCGGCGUGCUUAACACAUGCAAGUCGAACGGUGAAAGCGGAGCUUGCUCCGCUGGAUCAGUGGCGAACGGGUGAGUAACACGUGGGCAACCUGCCCCUCACUUCGGGAUAACUCCGGGAAACCGGGGCUAAUACCGGAUAUGACCUCCUUGGGCAUCCUUGGAGGUGGAAAGUUUUUCGGUGAGGGAUGGGCCCGCGGCCUAUCAGCUUGUUGGUGAGGUAGUGGCUCACCAAGGCGACGACGGGUAGCCGGCCUGAGAGGGCGACCGGCCACACUGGGACUGAGACACGGCCCAGACUCCUACGGGAGGCAGCAGUGGGGAAUAUUGCGCGAUGGGCGAAAGCCUGACGCAGCAACGCCGCGUGCGGGAUGACGGCCUUCGGGUUGUAAACCGCUUUCAGCAGGGAAGAAGCCGCAAGGUGACGGUACCUGCAGAAGAAGCACCGGCUAACUACGUGCCAGCCGCCGCCGUAA
rnacentral:rRNA from 1 species